rfam:Schistosoma haematobium scaffold38_16, whole genome shotgun sequence.
AUCCAGUUGACGAGUCCCGAAUAGGAUGAAACGCGUGUCAAACUGGAU